AACGCACAUUGCGCCUGCCAGCAUUCUGGCAGGCAUGCCUGUCCGAGCGUCAUUUCCACCCUCAUGCGCCCCGUUUGCGCGUGGUGUUGGGGCUCUGCUCUCCUGCCCUGGCGCGGGAGAGGCCCUGAAAGCGAGUGGCGGGCCGCCUGGUUUGGCUCCGAGCGCAGUAGAAACACAUCGUUUUUUUCCCCGCUCUGGACGCCGCCGGCGGUGCCCUGCCGUCAAAACGCACAGAUGACGUGCAACUUUUUUUCUCAGGUUGACCUCGGAUCAGGUAGGACUACCCGCUGAACUUAA
rnacentral:misc_RNA from 1 species